AUCUGAUUGGGCAAAUCUUGCUUUUUUUAUGCAUUUAAAUACGUGAGUCAAAUCUAUAACCUUGGGUAAAUUAUUUUUAUUUUUAGUGUUUAUUUUUUGUUUUUAAAUUAUUUGUUAGGAAAUCUCAAUUCCAUGUCUUUAGAUUUGAAAUAGCCUUAGUCUUUUACGUAUAUAAAAUUAAUAAGGUUGAUGGGCUACUUUUUCAUAUGUGUACUAUAUAUGGCAUGUCACUUUCAUUUGGUUUAUUUUAUUGGCCUAAUAAGUUUCCUGAUAGCGUCAUCUUUUAUUUUAAUCUUAAUUUUAUUUUUUGUCUCAUUGUACAUUAAUUCAUGCAUAUUUAUAAUUGAUUUAUUUUUCUAUUUGGUAAAAUGAAGUACUAACUAGAUUAUGGUAAAAUUUAGAGCUUCUAAUUAAGUUUUGGGUAUUUUUAGAUGCGAACACAAAUGGUGGUCCAUACAAUGUGAUUCUCAUUUUUUAAUCCUAAUGUUUUAUUCUAUUUAAUUUCUUCUUAUUUUAAUUUCAUACCAAACUUUUUUUUUUGUGCUUGAAUUUGAUACUUGUCUUUUGAAAAUAUUAGAAGAUUGAAUAAGAGGAAUUAAAAUCAAAGUCCCAAACUUGAAAUCUAAAAUUUCAAAUAAGUUUUAUUAAUUUUGUGCCUUAAAUUUUGGUGUUAUUUUUCUUGCUUUAAUAUUUUGUUCUUUUGAGCAUAAAAAUAUUAAAUAAGGCAUGAAUGGAUGAAAAGAAAUUUUAAAAGGAAUCAAAGCAAGUAAAAGGAGAUCAAACAUGGUCAAAAGAAAAGAGGAGUUGAGCAUGGAGGCAUAAGCUGAAAAUUGGAACGAAAUGCACUGCAUAAGAAUUCAAGGCCCCUUGCAUGGGGUAAAAGCCUAAAAAAGCCAAGUAAUAAUUGUAGGAUUUUUAUUGGGCAUGGGAAGGCCAUUUUAAUUUUAAUUCUCUUUUCUCCUCCCCUUUCUUUAGUUGUAGAUUUUAUUUAUUUUACUUUGAACUUUUAAUUAUUUUAAUCAUAUUGAAAUAGAUUUAAUUAAUUAAACUUAGUAAAAAUACAUAUAGGGCAGCUUGGUAAAUUAAAAAGAUAAUGUAUAUAUUAGACUUAGAUUAGUUAAUUCUUUCUACUUGUUUUGUGAAUGUAAAUAAGUUUGUAUGAAAUAUGUAUGUAGGGCAAGGUGGUAAAAGGGUAACAUUACUAAAUUAGCAAUUUUACGUGUUAGGAAUUACUUGCGCAUGUACAUAGUUGAUUUGUUUGAAUUAAUUGUGUGUGUAACUUUAGACUUGCAUAAAUAUAUGAAUAAUAUGAAUAAGGAAUUAAAUAAAAGAAAUAAUAAGACAAACUUUAUGAUUCAUUAGUAGAGGAUAACCCUGGUUAUAAGAUAAGUCCAAGCAGAGAGGGUGUCUAACACUUUCCCUUUCUUGUAUCCACUAUUCGGAACUUAGGCCACUG
rnacentral:misc_RNA from 1 species